CCGGCAAGGUGGGCGGGCAGGUGGUGUCCCUCCUGCUGGAGGCGGGGGCGCCGGUGCGGGCGCUGGUCCGGGAUCCGGCCUCGGCGGUCC
rnacentral:tRNA from 1 species